CCAGAGAUUUCUCUGUCCCCUUGUCUACAAACUGCCAUUAGCUGGCGUAGCCAUUCCAGAAAAGCUCCUCCUGGGCUGACGGUAUUCAGAAUAAAGCCACUUUUAUCCCAUCAUAAUUACUCUGCUUGAGGAGCAGCCCUGUUACUCUGUGUCCGCAAAAAGAAAAGGAGGACUUGUGGCACCUUAGAGACUAACACAUUUACAAGUUCAUCGCCCAGCCACCAAAAUUCAGCCACUUCUAGGAUGGAACAGCUGACGUUGAACAGUUUACAACACAACAUAGCAGUUAGUGGAAGCUCAGAUGCUCAUGAAAUCAUGUGACUCCAGGAACUUGGGCUUUGAGGAAAAAACACCAAGUAUCAUGGAACCUCUGCAAAAAUCAUGAGAGUUAGCAACACUAAUAAGCACACAGCAAAUAUGUAACUAAUAUUAACUCUUUGUACAAUGCGGCAGUAGAGAAUCCUGCUAUAUCCAUCCAGGAAGUGCACCUGUAGUUUACAGAUGACCUAACGCACUGUGUAUAAGAUAACAUACCAUGUUUAUCUUUUAUUAAUAAAGUACUGUAAACACUG